rnacentral:rRNA from 1 species
CAGCCGCCGCGGUAAUACAGAGGGUGCAAGCGUUAAUCGGAAUUACUGGGCGUAAAGCGUGCGUAGGCGGCUUCUUAAGUCGGAUGUGAAAUCCCUGAGCUUAACUUAGGAAUUGCAUUCGAUACUGGGAAGCUAGAGUAUGGGAGAGGAUGGUAGAAUUCCAGGUGUAGCGGUGAAAUGCGUAGAGAUCUGGAGGAAUACCGAUGGCGAAGGCAGCCAUCUGGCCUAAUACUGACGCUGAGGUACGAAAGCAUGGGGAGCAAACAGGAUUAGAGACCCCAGUAGUCCCUGUCUCUUAUAC